rnacentral:lncRNA from 1 species
AGAGAGAGAAAAAAAAAGUUGAAUUUUAGAGAGAAAAAUAAAUUUAGAGAGAGAUAUAAGAUUAGAGUGUAAAGAAAAAUAAUAUCAAUUAGCCAGCGGAUAGGAAAAAAGAAAGAGAUUAGUCAUAUUAUGAUUACCCCAAUCCAUUAAUAUGAGAAUACCCACCCUCCCUCAAGGGAAUGAGAUUAGUACUUUGGGGUGAAUCUUAUUCCCAAGUGAAUCCAAUAUUACCAACUAGAUUACUUAGUGCGUUUAGCCAAAUACCGUCAUAUUUUUUUAUUCCCAUUGGAUUACUAGGAAUCUUUAAAAGAUAGCGCGAACCAAACGCACCCUUAGGUUCAUGGUUCAUAAGAUAUGGCGUAUGAGAUUUGGUGUAUAGCUCAUAGGAUUUGGUGUAUGGCUCAUAAAAUUUGGUGUUUGAAUUAUAAACUUGGUGUAUGAUUCAUGAAAUUUAGAUAUGUUUUGGUGUAUUAUUUAUGGACUGGAUUUGGAUUGGUUUGGAUUUUAUUUGUGGACUGGAUUUGGAUUGGGCUCGGGAUUUAUUUGUGGACUAGAUUUAAAUUUUCUUUGUGGACUGGAUUUGGGCUUUCAUGCAGACUGGAUUUGGG